GACGAACGCUGGCGGCGUGCUUAACACAUGCAAGUCGAACGGAAAGGCCCCUUUGGGGGUACUCGAGUGGCGAACGGGUGAGUAACACGUGAGUAACCUGCCCUUGACUUCGGGAUAACUUCAGGAAACUGGGGCUAAUACCGGAUAGGAAUCCUUGCUGCAUGGUGGGGGUUGGAAAGCUUCGGCGGUUUUGGAUGGACUCGCGGCUUAUCAGCUUGUUGGUGGGGUAGUGGCUUACCAAGGCUUUGACGGGUAGCCGGCCUGAGAGGGCGACCGGCCACAUUGGGACUGAGAUACGGCCCAGACUCCGACGGGAGGCAGCAGGGGGGAAUAUUGCACAAUGGGCGGAAGCCUGAUGCAGCAACGCCGCGUGCGGGAGGACGGCCUUCGGGUUGGAAACCGCUUUCAGCAGGGGCGAAGCUUGUGGUGACGGUACCUGCAGAAGAAGCACCGGCUAACUACGUG
rnacentral:rRNA from 1 species